UACGAACUGUGCGAACGUUAUUCGGAAUCACUGGGCUUAAAGGGUGCGUAGGCGGCGGCUCAAGUCAGGUGUGAAAUCCCCCGGCUCAACCGGGGAACAGCGCUUGAAACUGGGUGGCUCGAGUGAGGCAGGGGUAUGUGGAACUUCCGGUGGAGCGGUGAAAUGUGUAGAUAUCGGAAGGAACGCCGGCGGCGAAAGCGGCAUACUGGGCCUUGUCUGACGCUGAGGCACGAAAGCCAGGGGAGUGAACGGG
rnacentral:misc_RNA from 1 species